rnacentral:rRNA from 1 species
GGUUAAGCGAACAAGCGUACACGGUGGAUGCCCUGGCAGUCAGAGGCGAUGAAGGACGUGCUAAUCUGCGAAAAGCGCCGGUAAGGUGAUAUGAACCGUUAUAACCGGCGAUGUCCGAAUGGGGAAACCCGGUGCACUUCGGUGCAUCAUCGUUAGCUGAAUACAUAGGCUAACGAGGCGAACCGGGGGAACUGAAACAUCUAAGUACCCCGAGGAAAAGAAAUCAACCGAGAUUCCCCCAGUAGCGGCGAGCGAACGGGGAACAGCCCAGAGCCUGAAUCAGCUUGUGUGUCAGUGGAACGGUCUGGAAAGGCCGGCGAUACAGGGUGACAGCCCCGUACACGAAGGCACACAGGCUGUGAGCUCGAUGAGUAGGGCGGGACACGUGAUAUCCUGUCUGAAGAUGGGGGGACCAUCCUCCAAGGCUAAAUACUCCUGACUGACCGAUAGUGAACCAGUACCGUGAGGGAAAGGCGAAAAGAACCCCGGCGAGGGGAGUGAAACAGAACCUGAAACCGUGUACGUACAAGCAGUGGGAGCCUUCGUAAGAGGGUGACUGCGUACCUUUUGUAUAAUGGGUCAGCGACUUAUAUUCUGUAGCAAGGUUAACCGUAUAGGGGAGCCGAAGGGAAACCGAGUCUUAACCGGGCGUUAAGUUGCAGGGUAUAGACCCGAAACCCGGUGAUCUAGCCAUGGGCAGGUUGAAGGUUGGGUAACACUAACUGGAGGACCGAACCGACUAAUGUUGAAAAAUUAGCGGAUGACCUGUGGCUGGGGGUGAAAGGCCAAUCAAACCGGGAGAUAGCUGGUUCUCCCCGAAAGCUAUUUAGGUAGCGCCUCGUGAACUCAUCUCCGGGGGUAGAGCACUGUUUCGGCUAGGGGGCCAUCCCGGCUUACCAACCCGAUGCAAACUGCGAAUACCGGAGAAUGUUAUCACGGGAGACACACGGCGGGUGCUAACGUCCGUCGUGAAGAGGGAAACAACCCAGACCGCCAGCUAAGGUCCCAAAGUCAUGGUUAAGUGGGAAACGAUGUGGGAAGGCCCAGACAGCCAGGAUGUUGGCUUAGAAGCAGCCAUCAUUUAAAGAAAGCGUAAUAGCUCACUGGUCGAGUCGGCCUGCGCGGAAGAUGUAACGGGGCUAAACCAUGCACCGAAGCUGCGGCAGCGACACUCUGUGUUGUUGGGUAGGGGAGCGUUCUGUAAGCCUGUGAAGGUGUGCUGUGAGGCAUGCUGGAGGUAUCAGAAGUGCGAAUGCUGACAUAAGUAACGAUAAAGCGGGUGAAAAGCCCGCUCGCCGGAAGACCAAGGGUUCCUGUCCAACGUUAAUCGGGGCAGGGUGAGUCGACCCCUAAGGCGAGGCCGAAAGGCGUAGUCGAUGGGAAACAGGUUAAUAUUCCUGUACUUGGUGUUACUGCGAAGGGGGGACGGAGAAGGCUAUGUCGGCCGGGCGACGGUCGUCCCGGUUUAAGCGUGUAGGCUGACUUUCCAGGCAAAUCCGGAAAGUUAAGGCUGAGGCGUGAUGACGAGGCACCACGGUGCUGAAGUGACAAAUGCCCUGCUUCCAGGAAAAGCCUCUAAGCAUCAGGUAACAUCAAAUCGUACCCCAAACCGACACAGGUGGUCAGGUAGAGAAUACCAAGGCGCUUGAGAGAACUCGGGUGAAGGAACUAGGCAAAAUGGUGCCGUAACUUCGGGAGAAGGCACGCUGACAUGUAGGUGAAGCCCCUGCGGGUGGAGCUGAAGUCAGUCGAAGAUACCAGCUGGCUGCAACUGUUUAUUAAAAACACAGCACUGUGCAAACACGAAAGUGGACGUAUACGGUGUGACGCCUGCCCGGUGCCGGAAGGUUAAUUGAUGGGGUUAUCGCAAGAGAAGCUCCUGAUCGAAGCCCCGGUAAACGGCGGCCGUAACUAUAACGGUCCUAAGGUAGCGAAAUUCCUUGUCGGGUAAGUUCCGACCUGCACGAAUGGCGUAAUGAUGGCCAGGCUGUCUCCACCCGAGACUCAGUGAAAUUGAACUCGCUGUGAAGAUGCAGUGUACCCGCGGCAAGACGGAAAGACCCCGUGAACCUUUACUACAGCUUGACACUGAACAUUGAGCCUUGAUGUGUAGGAUAGGUGGGAGGCUUUGAAGCGUGGACGCCAGUCUGCGUGGAGCCGACCUUGAAAUACCACCCUUUAAUGUUUGAUGUUCUAACCUGGCGCCGUGAUCCGGCGUGGGGACAGUGUCUGGUGGGUAGUUUGACUGGGGCGGUCUCCUCCCAAAGUGUAACGGAGGAGCACGAAGGUCAGCUAAUCCUGGUCGGACAUCAGGAGGUUAGUGCAAUGGCAUAAGCUGGCUUGACUGCGAGAGUGACGGCUCGAGCAGGUGCGAAAGCAGGUCAUAGUGAUCCGGUGGUUCUGUAUGGAAGGGCCAUCGCUCAACGGAUAAAAGGUACUCCGGGGAUAACAGGCUGAUACCGCCCAAGAGUUCAUAUCGACGGCGGUGUUUGGCACCUCGAUGUCGGCUCAUCACAUCCUGGGGCUGAAGUAGGUCCCAAGGGUAUGGCUGUUCGCCAUUUAAAGUGGUACGCGAGCUGGGUUUAGAACGUCGUGAGACAGUUCGGUCCCUAUCUGCCGUGGGCGCUGGAGAAUUGAGGGGGGCUGCUCCCAGUACGAGAGGACCGGAGUGGACGCAUCACUGGUGUUCGGGUUGUCAUGCCAAUGGCACUGCCCGGUAGCUAAAUGCGGAAGAGAUAAGUGCUGAAAGCAUCUAAGCACGAAACUUGCCCCGAGAUGAGUUCUCCCUGAGACUAUAAGUCUCCUGAAGGAACGUUGAAGACGACGACGUUGAUAGGCCGGGUGUGUAAGCGCAGCGAUGCGUUGAGCUAACCGGUACUAAUGAACCGUGAGGCUUAACCUU